UGAGAGAUUUUGCAACGUGCUGCAGACCAGCUGAGCAAUAUUCGAAUUCCAGCUGUGAACGUGAGGGAGGCAGUUUUCUGUCAAGUAAUAAGUGUUUGAAACUCCGAUUGUUUUUUCUUAGAGACACAGAAAGACUCGGAGGAUUGUGAUGGCGAGCCCAGCCCUGUGAACUGCUGACGGUCAAAGAAGCGGUGUGGCCUACCGUUAAGACCGUUUACAGGAGACAGCGGAUUUAUCAGAGUUUUGCCCAGCAUCAGAUAAGAACUUACUUACACUAAUUACUCUACCCGGGUAGAACAGCCAUAGGAAACACCUUUAAUUUACAUUCAAGGACUAGAACUGAACUUUGGAAUCCAUACCUCUUUAAAAAAAAGGAGUGGUAUUGAAUUGAAGAUCUCUUGCACUUAACAUAAUUUUUAUUUUUAAGAGCUCUAUUUUAUUUCUUUAUUUCUAAGUUUUAUGCACUAAUUCAUUGCUAAUACACUAAUUCAUUGCUUGUGUAGCAAUAAAUGUGUUAAUUGUUCAACUUCACCUCCUCUCUUAAUUUCAAGGUGUACCGCUUUUCGAACCUAGUUAAGUGUUACUACC